rnacentral:lncRNA from 1 species
GUUCCUGAGUCCCCUGCUAACAAGCUGACUGUCGCUAUGGGCAGAAGGUACCUAGAGGCUCCGGGGUGUCCAGGCAGCUCAUAUUGCAAAUUAUAACCCGUUUCCUGCACCACUGCUGGCGCCCAGCGAUCCAUGUCAGAAGUACUUCCAGCUGAUUCAGGUGUCGGCACCUUGGCAGUGUUUAUGGCAAGCAGCGGAACCACAGACAUUGCAAAUCGGAACAGCCCAGCCACACCACCGAAUACCCUUAAUC